CUCCUACGCGAGGCAGCAGUGGGGAAUAUUGGACAAUGGGCGAAAGCCUGAUCCAGCCAUGCCGCGUGUGUGAUGAAGGCCUUAGGGUUGUUAAAGCAACUUUUGUCUAGGGAAGAUAAUGACGGUACCUCGAACGAAUAAGCACCGGCUAACUCCGUGCCGAGCCGCCGCGGUAAUUC
rnacentral:rRNA from 1 species